rnacentral:rRNA from 1 species
UACAGAGGUCUCAAGCGUUGUUCGGAUUCAUUGGGCGUAAAGGGCGCGUAGGCUGCGGGGCAAGUCGGGUGUGAAAUCUCAGAGCUCAACUCUGAAACUGCACUCGAUACUGCUUUGCUUGAGGACUGGAGAGGAGACUGGAAUUUACGGUGUAGCGGUGAAAUGCGUAGAUAUCGUAAGGAAGACCAGUGGCGAAGGCGGGUCUCUGGACAGUUCCUGACGCUGAGGCACGAAGGUCAGGGGAGCAAACGGG